UAGGGUCCAUAGAAUAUAAAUAGGGCUUCAAAACAUGAGCUUUAAUGUUCUUUAAGUGGUAAAUUUGAUUUAUGUACACAUGAUUAAUAAGUUAUAUAUGUAUAAUAUGUUUUCUAUUAAGCAUAAUCUAUGCAUAAUCUGUUAUCUAUUAAGCAUGUAUGUCAUAUACAUUUUCGAUAUCUUUUAUUUCUGCAUGUGCGUUCGGGUGGGAUAUAUAUUUGCGGAGGAAGUGUGGGCAGCUUAAUCUGUCUGUCGUAUCUAGUGGCUUAGCCACACAUAUAUUUCUGUUACUAGCGAAUUAUCACCUUAAGAUCUGACAGC
rnacentral:lncRNA from 1 species